rnacentral:lncRNA from 1 species
UUCGUAAGAAAAUGUAACUAAAAAAUAACAAGAUUUUAUAUUUCUUAAGGGAAAAAAGUGUCAUGUAAGGAUCAAUCCAUCCAUCCAUCCCCUCCAUUUCCCCUAAACAAACAAAUGCUAUGUAUGUUUGGAUUUUUCAUAAUCAAAGAUUGUCCCAUCUAAGUAUAAUAAAUGAAAAGCAACAAGUAUACAGCAAAUAUACACAAAAGAUGAGAUGACAUCCGAAAAAAGCCUCAUAUACAUAUUAUUAAUAAUAAUAAUAAUCCUGGUUGCUUAAAUACCAAAUGGACGGACCCUCAUAAAAGAAAGCUUAGAAAUAAAGAAUAAACUAUUAAUUCAUUCAUUCUUGUUUUGAAAUUAAGAUAUUUGAUUGAUCCUGAUCCUGAUCCUCCUCCUAUAGUAGAAUUUACCUGGAACUAAUAAUUGAUUCAUUCAUUCAUUCAUCAUCCUUGUUGUUGUUGUUCUUGGGUUUGCGAUAUGUUUCCUCGGUGACUUUGGCCAUGAACAAGAAAGUGUCAGCGACCUUGGCGACGUUAGGUACUUUAUAAUUCUGAGCGACGUAAAUUCCGGUCACAGUUCCAGCUAUAAAAGAGAAACAACUCCUGAUUAUACCCAUUAUUAUUAUUAUUAUUGCCUGUUCAAAACACAAUUAAGCAAAUAAUCAGCAUCUACGAUGGAAUCGAGUGAGUAAAAAGGGAAAUUCAAUAAUAAAAAAAAAGGAAAACCUGUAUUGUACUGUACUGUACUACGGUGGCUCACCUGCGAUUCAAUGGGAGGAGGAGGAGGAGGAGGAGGAGUUAGCUCUGUUAUGUUUUAGGGUUUUAAUUAAUGUGUUUCAAAUUGGAAUCUCUCCAUUUUCUUUUCUCUCUAUUUAUACUCAUAUUUUAAUUUAAU